rnacentral:tRNA from 1 species
UCUAAUGUGGCAGAAAAAGUGCAGUGAACUUAAGAUUCACUAAUAAGUAUAAAUAUUUCUUUAGAA